CUCGUAGCUGGAUCGACUAAGUUUUAUACUGAGUCGACUAAGUUUGGACUGAGCCGGCUAAGUUUCUGGAUGAGUCGGCUAAGUCUGUGGGAAGGCUUGAGCGGUGGGGUUCUGCAGAGUGGUUGAAUUUUAGAAUUUUAAAAAUUAUUUUCAUGGGAUUACUUGGCAGCUAUUUUUGACUUAAAUAAAGGGUUGGAAAAUCAAAUUAUUUGCUGGCUUUUUAUGGAUUGAACACAUAGCAAACUAGUCCUUAAAUUAUUCAUUUCCUAAGGGGUUGUCCAUCGGUUCCUAUUUUGACUUUUCUAGUCCUCUAGUGAAAGCAGAGAAGAUAUAGAAGGAAGGAGGG
rnacentral:lncRNA from 1 species